GCCGCGAAUUCGCCCUUAGAGUUUGAUCAUGGCUCAGAACGAACGCUGGCGGCGUGCUUAACACAUGCAAGUCUAACGAGAAAGUUCUCUUCGGAGAAUGAGUAAAGUGGCGCACGGGUGAGUAACACGUGGGUAACCUACCCUUCAGCUUGGGAUAACACUUCGAAAGGGGUGCUAAUACCAAAUACGUUCAAUUAGGCUUCGGCUUUUUUGAAGAAAGAUGGCCUCUAUACUAUGCUGUCACUGAUUGAUGGGCCCGCGGACCAUUAGCUUGUUGGUAAGGUAACGGCUUACCAAGGCAACGAUGGUUAGCUGGUCUGAGAGGAUGAUCAGCCACACUGGUACUGGAACACGGACCAGACUCCUACGGGAGGCAGCAGUGGGGAAUAUUGCGCAAUGGGGGAAACCCUGACGCAGCAACGCCGCGUGAGUGAUGAAGGCCUUUGGGUCGUAAAGCUCUGUCAGAGGGGAAGAAGGUGCUAGAGUUAAUACCUCUAGUUACUUGACGGUACCCUCAAAGGAAGCACCGGCUAACUCCGU
rnacentral:rRNA from 1 species